CCUGUGGGAUCUCCUCUUUCCUGGGGGAUCCACUCUCAAUUCCCACUGGAUCCCCCAUUUCCAGGGGAUCUGGGCUUGUGGGAUCCCCCCUUUCCCAGGGGAUCCACUCUCAAUUCCCGCAGGAUCCCCCAGGAUCGAUCCCAGCAGGAUUCCCAGGAUCUCAGGGAUCCCCGCUCUCGUCAUCAGUCCCAGGAGAUCCCAGCAGAUCCCAAGUGGAUCCAGCAGGAUCUCCAUUCCCUGGAUCCCUGGGAUUCCCGUUCUUGCUGUCGGUCCCAGCAGAUUCCCACUGAUCCCAGUAGAUCCCGGGUGGAUCCAGCAGGAUCCCCUGUCAGUCCCAUCAGCUCCCAGCCAAUACUGGGUGGAUCCCAUCAGAUCCCAGUGGAUCCAUUGGGAUUUUCAGGAUCCCCAUUCUUGCUGUAACAGUCCCAGUGGAUCCCAUCAGAUCCCAGUGGAUCCAGCAGGAUUUCCAGGAUCCCCAUUCUUGCUGUCAGUCCCAGUUGAUCCCAUCAGAUCCCAGUGGACCCCGCAGGAUUUCCAGGAUCCCCGUUCUUGCUGUCAGUCCCAGAGGAUCCCAUCAGAUCCCAGCGGAUCCAGCAGGAUAUCCAGGAUCCCCGUUCUUGCUGUCAGCCCCAGUGGAUCCCAGCAGAUCCCAGUUAUUGCUGUCAGUCCCAGUGGAUCCCAUCAGAUCCCAGUGGAUCCAGCAGGAUUCCCCGGGAUCCUCAUUCCUGCUGUCAGUCCCGGUGGAUCCCAGC
rnacentral:lncRNA from 1 species